rnacentral:rRNA from 1 species
UACGGAGGGUGCAAGCGUUGUUCGGAAUCACUGGGCGUAAAGGGCGUGUAGGCGGUCCGCUAAGUCUGAUGUGAAAGCCCGGGGCUCACCCCCGGAAGGGCAUUGGAAACUGGCGGACUCGAGUCCCGGAGAGGAAGGUGGAAUUCCUGGUGUAGCGGUGAAAUGCGUAGAUAUCAGGAGGAAUACCGGUGGCGAAGGCGGCCUUCUGGACGGUGACUGACGCUGAGGCGCGAAAGCGUGGGGAGCGAACAGG